GAAUGUUAAGAAGAGGGAACUAAAGAGCCAAAUUAUCAUGAAAGACAAGAAAAGCCACGGAGGAUAAUUCUGAGAGAUGGGGAGAUUCCAAGUGUGGCAGAGAAAUCCAGAAGCAUGAAUGAUGGCUCACAAGAGCAUGAAGGGAAGGAGAAGAGCAUGUCCAUGAGGAGAGGGGAACAUAAAAGCAGAGAAAGGUGAAGGAAAGUUUAUCAAAGACUUAAAACAAAGAAUAAAACAUUUAAAAAAUAUAUUUUUAGAGAAAAAAAAGUAGAACUGUGAUGAUGAUGAGGUAUUUGGAAAGUAGUUAAUGUUUUAUAUUGUUAGAAAUUCAUCCAUUCAUUUUGGAAUGUAUUCCCAGGUGGAGUCAUGAGGAUGCUACCCAGCCACCGGGAGGCAAAGGUGGGGGACACCAUGGACAGACUACUAGUCCAUUGGAAGAAAACACAGAGACAUUGUGGCAGCCCACUUCCGCCCCGUUCUCCUCCCGGGUCUUCGGUACCACCAUCAGUGUCUGGGGUCUCAUCACUACUCCAAGGUGAUCACUUGCAUUCCUUAUGUCUCCAGCCUAGAGCCCAACUGUUUAUGCUUCAUAGCUCAAACUUUCACAAUUAAAUCUUUCCGUCUUCUGCCAAUCAA